rnacentral:misc_RNA from 1 species
AUACAUGUUUAUGGAAUGCCUAAAUUCAUCUACUGUCCCUCGGAUAUCAAACUGCUGCCCUUCCUGAAUUAUCUCCCCUUGUUUCCUCUGCAAGCCCAUAAAAAAAGCACAAUGGGCACAUGGUUUGGAGGCAUCCACGUACUCAUGAGGGUAUGGAUGACACUGCAACUUCCCAUACGUGUCUCGCUCAAUCAUAAGAGUCAACUGCCUCAACCGGGAUUCCACCCAGCCUUUCCAAGAACGCAAGUCAUCAACAUCGGCUGCGACUAUGUC